rnacentral:rRNA from 1 species
UACAGAGGUCCCGAGCGUUGUUCGGAUUCACUGGGCGUAAAGGGUGCGUAGGUGGUGAGGUAAGUCGGAUGUGAAAUCUCCGGGCUCAACCCGGAAAUGGCAUUGGAAACUACCUUGCUAGAGGAUUUGAGGGGGGAUUGGAAUACAUGGUGUAGCAGUGAAAUGCGUAGAUAUCAAGUGGAACACCAGUGGCGAAGGCGAAUCCCUGGAAAAUACCUGACACUGAGGCACGAAAGCUAGGGGAGCAAACAGG